rnacentral:rRNA from 1 species
AGGACGAACGCUGGCGGCGUGCUUAACACAUGCAAGUCGAGCGGUAAGGCCUCCUUCGGGGGGUACACGAGCGGCGAACGGGUGAGUAACACGUGGGUGACCUGCCCUCAGCUCUGGGAUAAGCCUGGGAAACCGGGUCUAAUACCGGAUGGGACUGCUUGCCGCAUGGUGGGUGGUGGAAAGUUUUUUCGGCUGGGGAUGGGCCCGCGGCCUAUCAGCUUGUUGGUGGGUGAUGGCCUACCAAGGCGGUG